AUGCAAAGCCUUCUUCAGCAUUCCUCAGGAGUAGGUGCAGCACCUAAUCGACCGGCAAAAGAUAAAGCAUCGCACCGCGCCCUUGCCAAGCAUUUGAAGAAUGGUGUUGCUAAGCCUUCUGAGCCGCAGCAAAUUGCUAUAGAGCCGCAGCAGCCGCAGCAAAUUGCUGUAGAGCCGCAGCCUCUUCCAAACAGACAUGAGAAGUUUGUGUGGCCCUGGAUGGGAGUUUUAGUUAAUGUACCUACUGAAUGGAAGGACGGGCGUCAAGUUGGAGAAAGUGGAAAUCGUUUGAAGGGGGAAUUAUCGCAAUUUUGCCCACUGAAGGUUAUUCCUUUAUGGAAUUUUCGAGGUCAUACAGGGAAUGCUAUUGUUGAGUUUGCAAAAAACUGGAAUGGUUUCAGAAAUGCACUUGCGUUUGAAAAGUACUUUGAGGCAGGAGGUUGUGGCAGAAGGGACUGGAAGCAAAACCAGAAUCAAGGGUCAAAGCUUUGUGGAUGGGUCGCAAGGGCUGAAGAUUACAAUUUUCCAGGGCUAAUUGGGGACCACUUAAGGAAAAAUGCUGACUUGAAAACUAUCGAUGAUCUUGAGAAUGAAGGAACACGUAAAAAUAAUAAACUUGUAGCUAAUUUAGCUAACCAAAUUGAGGUCAAGAAUAAGUAUUUACAGGAGCUUGAACUUAGAUACAAUGAGACAACUCUGUCACUUGAGAAGAUGAUGGGGCAAAGGGAACAACGUCUCCAGGCGUAUAAUGAAGAAAUUCGGAAGAUGCAGCAGCUAGCUCGCAGACAUUCUGAAAAGAUCAUUGAUGAGAACCAAAAUCUGCGUUCGGAACUGGAGUCCAAGAUGAGUGAACUUAAUGCAAGAUCCAAAGAGCUUGAUGACCUUGCUGCAAAAAGUUCUCAUGACAAAAGUAAUCUUGAGCAGGAGAAGCAGAAGAAUGCUAUUAAAUCAAACCAUCUUAAGUUGGCAACAGCGGAACAACAGAGAGCUGAUGAGGAUGUGGUGAAGCUUGUGAGAGAUCAGAAGAGAGAGAAAGUUGCUGCUUUAAACAAGAUCCUGGAGUUAGAACAGCAGUUGGAAGCAAAACAGACGCUUGAAUUGGAAAUACAGCAGCUGAAGGGCAAAUUGGAAGUGAUGAAGCAUAUGCCAGGUCAUGAAGAUUCAGUCUCGAAGGAUAAAAUCAAUGAACUUAGUGAGGAGCUGCAAGAUAAGAUGGAUGAACUGGAUGCUAUGGAGUCACUUAACCAAACUCUGGUUAUUAAAGAAAGCAAAAGCAAUACUGAGAUGCAAGAAGCUCGGAAGGAGCUGGAAAAUGGCUUGCUUAAUCUUUCAGGUGGCCGAGCACAUAUAGGGAUCAAGAGAAUGGGCGAGCUUGAUCUGAAAGCAGUUUCAAAUGCUCUCGGACAGAAGUUGUCGAAAGAGGAUGCAGAAGUUACUGCUGCCAUUCUUUGUUCAAAAUGGGAAGCUGAAAUUAGGAAUCCAGAAUGGCACCCUUUUAGGGCUGUCAUGGUUGAUGGAAAGGAAAUGGAAAGAAUCAAUGCUGAUGACGCAAAGCUUCGAGAAUUAAAAGACGAGCAUGGCGAAGAAAUAUAUUCGUUGGUGACCAAGGCGCUGCGCGAGUACAAUGCUAACAGCACCAGGUAUCCCGUAGGAGAGCUGUGGAACUUCAGAGAAGAACGCAAGGCGUCUCUCAAGGAAGCUGUCCAGGUGGUGCUGAGGCAGUGGCGAGCCAACAGGAGGAAGCGUUGA
rnacentral:rRNA from 1 species